rnacentral:rRNA from 1 species
UACGAAGGGGGCGAGCGUUGUUCGGAUUUACUGGGCGUAAAGGGCGCGCAGGCGGCUCAUUUUGUCAGGCGUGAAAGCCCCGGGCUUAACCUGGGAACUGCGUUUGAUACGGAUGGGCUAGAGUUCGGGAGAGGAGAGUGGAAUUCCCAGUGUAGAGGUGAAAUUCGUAGAUAUUGGGAAGAACACCGGUGGCGAAGGCGGCUCUCUGGACCGAGACUGACGCUGAGACGCGAAAAGCGUGGGGAGCGAACAGG